CAUGACUGGCUGGCAGACCCCAGUGACG
rnacentral:piRNA from 1 species